GCCCAGGUGGUGGAAUUGGUAGACACACCAUCUUGAGGGGGUGGCGCCUCGCGGCGUGAGGGUUCGAAUCCCUCCCUGGGCA
rnacentral:tRNA from 1 species